AUGCGACUAGUGUGACUGAGGAACCCAUUUUUUAACUUCAGUUUUAGUUGCCACAUUUGGUUACUAACCACCAUAUUGGAUACUUAGGUCUUAAAUAGAUUUUGGGGGUUUUUGUUUGUUUGUUUGUUUGUUUUUGUUUUUUGUUUUUGUUUUUUUUUAAGAUUUAUUUUAUUAAUAUAUGAGUACACUGUAGCUGUCUUCAGACACUCCAGAAGAGGGAGUCAGAUCUUGUUGCGGAUGGUUGUGAGCCACCAUGUGGUUGCUGGGAUUUGAACUUUGGACCUUUGGAAGAGCAGUCGGGUGCUCUUACCCACUGAGCCAUCUCACCAGCCCCCUUGUUUUUGUUUUGAGAUAUGCCUUGCUUUGGGGGAUCAUAGGUAAAAGCCUAUAUGCCUUGCUUUUUGUUUAUUUUUGCCAGUUUUUUUGUUUGUUUAUUUGAUUGUUUUGUUUUUUGAGACAGGGUCUUACUAUGGCUGGCUGUCCUACACUACAUCACUUCAGAUGAUCAGGCUGGCCUUAAACUCAAGAGAUCUGCUUGCCUCUAUCUCCUAAAUGCUGGGAUCAAAUACUGUGCCACCAUGCCUCUCAUUAAAUAGUCCAUAUUUUCUAGUUUUUUAACUUCAACUGUCUUGUUCCUCUGUAGAAAACAUAGCCUGCUGCACCUAGAUAUGGUCAGCUGAGAGAGGAAUUGGAUGAGUACAGUGGCCCUUCAGAGCCAUGGGUUCCCUACCCCUAGAUUCAACCAAUCAAACGGUGAUAGAAAAUAAUUUGGGUGGGGUGGCGGGAACUGCAUCUGUACUGAGCAUGCGUAGGCUUUUGGGGUCAUUAUUCUAUAAGCAAUACAGUAGUGACUUACAUACCUUUUACAGUGGGUUAAAAAUAUCAAUAAUCUAGAGAUUAUUUGGAGUAUGCAGGAUACUCAUAUAUCAUAUGCAAAGACUACAGCAUUUUAUAUGAGAUUUGUUCAUCCUGUUUCUAUAUUUCCCAGGGGGCUCUUGAAACCAGUUUCCACGAAUAGUGAGAAAUGACUCUUGGUGGUUUGAAAUACACUGAAAUAGUUAAACGAUAAAAGUUUUGUCAUAUUUUAUCACAAUAGAGGUGAAUAUACAUGGUGAGGGAACAAAACCUGUGGUGAAAAACCAUAAAGAGGCUUUUUUGAAGGAGGCAGAAUCCUGAGUUUCAGUGAUCAGCAAACAUCCUAGAAAACAGGUAGUGUAUAGCUAGCCAGUUUCUUGGUGUGGGCUUGAGGGGAUCUGAGAGCAGGCAUGAAGGUGACAGGCCAUGAAGACCCUGCCUGCUAUUGCAGGCCAAGUAUAGAAGACUUGGUUAGGAAAGCCAUGCACGGGCAUAAGAGCUCUUAAGUAAGCACAUUGCUUCAUUUUAUAACGGUCACUAGCUACUAUGUGGCAAAUCUGUCAGACAGUGGCAACUGUAGAACAGUCAGAUAGGCUAAUAAGUCACAGUGAUAACAGCAGCAGCUGGCAUGCAGAGAAAGCUACAGUCCUUAGGAAAUACGGGCCUCACAGAGCUUUCCUCAUUUGGAGAAAUCUUUCCAUUGGAUUGCAUUGCUAACAUAGAAGUAGUUAUCCUAAAGCUGAGUAAGAAAUUUUGGUCAUUAGUUACUCUUUAUAU
rnacentral:lncRNA from 1 species